rnacentral:rRNA from 1 species
UACGUAGGGUCCGAGCGUUGUCCGGAAUUACUGGGCGUAAAGAGCUCGUAGGUGGUUUGUCGCGUUGUUCGUGAAAACUCACAGCUUAACUGUGGGCGUGCGGGCGAUACGGGCAGACUGGAGUACUGCAGGGGAGACUGGAAUUCCUGGUGUAGCGGUGGAAUGCGCAGAUAUCAGGAGGAACACCGGUGGCGAAGGCGGGUCUCUGGGCAGUAACUGACGCUUAGGAGCGAAAGCGUGGGGAGCGAACAGG